rnacentral:tRNA from 1 species
GCCGAUUUAUUUUAACUGGUCAAAAUCACUUACUUGUAAUAAGUAGAAGGGUGUUCGAGUCACCCCGUCGGUA